ensembl:lincRNA
AAUACAUUAAAAAUACCUUUUAAAAAAACUUUAUACUUUCUUAUGGUGCUAAAAAACAGUCUUGAGAAGUACCUAGAAUUCUGACCUGUGGCAAGUGAUGGAGCUGUGGUGUGGACAGAGCUCUGGAUGUCAACGGUGGCCUUGUUUUAGAUACAUCAGUGUUUGGGGAUCAUUACAUUAUAGGCUUUACCAGUCUGGUGUACCACUGAAUUCUCCCACCUAUCAGCUUGAUGCCGAGAGCUGGUUACUUGGAAGAAUGAGUGAAAAACUGGAGUGGCAGUAAGGACAUGGGGUUCCCACCCUUAAAUAACAGGCAGAUUUUUUUUUUCCAUUUGUUUUAGUAGGAGACGUGAAGAAAUUUAAGCAGGAAGUUUCCUGAAGACUUCAAAACAAAGCCAGGUUGCUCUCUCUAGAGCAGCCCUAAUCAUAGUGGUUAGCAGUGUAGAUAAGCUUUCCUUCCCUACCCAGAAUGAGCGACAGACAUGAGAGAGAGGUUAAAAAGCAUUUAGAUUCACUUGAAUGUGAUGAAGACAAUGGUUGGCAUCUUGCGUCAUUGGUCUGUUUUAUUUCUACUGCAUUCAGUCUCAUUAUGUUUCUCACCAGGAGAACGUGAGUUACCCUGGCUCAAUUGUCAGUCAGGGUGCCUGAUUGACAUACUUGAGGCCCUGCAUUCUAUUCCUAGAACUACAAAAGUACUACUACAUUUGCAAUUCCAGCACUCAGAGGUAGAGGCAAGAGGAUCAGAAGCUCAAGGUCAUAACAGGCUUCAAGGCCUGUUAUAGAGCAAGUUUGUGGUAGCCUCUGAGUCAUGUGAUGUAUGUAUGGGUGGGGCAGGAAAGAUAAAGAGGAAGGGAAAGAGGAAAGAAAAGAAGAGAGAGAGGAAGAAAAAAAAAAGCAAAAGCAAGUGCUGUGGGUUCCAGUCCCAGGAGUCCCAGAAACGCUGUUUGCACAGGUGGGAGGUUCCUCUCCCUGGCCUGCUGUAGUAGGCAGCAUCCCCAGAAACUCUUAUGAAACCCCUUGUUUGUUGUCUUAGUCCACGCCUGCCAAGAGCAGUGAGGCCAAGGCAGGCCUGGGGUGAGCAUGCCCUGGUGAGGCAAUGGAGGGAACCCUGGUGCAUCCUCCUUUGGCUGGUCCCUGCAUCUCUGAAUCGGGGAUCUGGGUGGCAGGGGUGAAAACUGGGUCACCCCUCCUGACCUCUCUGCUGAUAGGUGGCAGCUGGACCCAUCUAACUGGUCUUCCACGGGCGCUCUAAGGAGCUGCCACUUGGCAUUGUUGAUCCAGAGACUUCUCUGUGGGGCUACAGGCGACCACAGUAAGAGCUGAGGACUCACGCUCAUUGUCUGAAAAUUUUCACAUGGAGUUUCUUCUUACUGUUGCUUCUGGGGUUCUCAUAAGUUGAUAAGCACUUUUUAAAAAAUUUGUAUGAUACUAACAAAAAAUCUGGAAGCAGUAGAACCAUAUAAGUGUGACGGCCCUGUGAGACAGUUAUUUUAAAAUAUGUUUGUAUUUUCCUAAUGCCUUCCUAAUGUUUUAGUAUGUAUUAUUUAUAAUUAUGUGCACAUAUGCUUCUUCUUGUAUAUGUUGAUGCAUGUGUGCCUGUGUUGAACAGCAUUAAAGAUUUUGAAAUAUG